UCCACGCCGUAAACGAUGGGUACUAGGUGUAGGAGGUAUCGACCCCUUCUGUGCCGUCGUUAACACAAUAAGUACCCCGCCUGGGGAGUACGGUCGCAAGACUAAAACUCAAAGGAAUUGACGGGGGCCCGCACAAGCAGCGGAGCAUGUGGUUUAAUUCGAAGCAACGCGAAGAACCUUACCUAGACUUGACAUCUCCUGAAUUACCCUUAACCGGGGAAGCCCUUCGGGGCAGGAAGACAGGUGGUGCAUGGUUGUCGUCAGCUCGUGUCGUGAGAUGUUGGGUUAAGUCCCGCAACGAGCGCAACCCUUAUUUUUAGUUGCUACCAUUAGGUUGAGCACUCUAAAGAGACUGCCCGGGUUAACCGGGAG
rnacentral:rRNA from 1 species